rnacentral:rRNA from 1 species
GAGUUUGAUCUUGGCUCAGGACGAACGCUGGCGGCGUGCCUAACACAUGCAAGUCGAACGAGUCCUACACCUUCGGGUGUGAGGCGAGUGGCGGACGGGUGAGUAACACGUGAGCAAUCUAUCCUGUUGCCGGGGGACAACGAGGGGAACCUUCGCUAAUACCGCAUGGUCGAGAGAUCCGCCUGGGUCUUUCGGGGAAACGUGGCCUCUUUUACAAUGCUACGGUGGCAGGAGGAGCUCGCGGGCUAUCA